UUUUAUUUUCAAGAAAAUCUGUUGCAAAAAGCAGGUUAUAUUUAUGACAACUAUAUCUAGUAAAAGGCAAACAGAAUGAAAGAUGAGUUUAAAUUGUUCACAACCCAAUGUCAGGCAUGUGUUGACAAGUAGACACUGAUUCAGUAGAAGCUGUACUUCCCCAGCCUGUACUCAGAACAAGCUGCUUUAGCAAAAGGAGCAAGUGGUGUUUCAGUUACAGCCUCAGACACCUUGCUUUUAAUUUGGAAACUUGUGUGGAACCAGAAGUGGCAAUCAUAGGCAGGCCCCCCACUGCCCACUCACAGAGAUUCUCUUUCCAGAGGAAAGGAGGGUGGAAGAGCUCUCUCUCCCAGCAGCAUGUUCGUUAGUUUCGUAGCUUCCUAAUUCCAGACUUUGUGUUCUUCCUAAGGAACCAGGUAUAUAAUUCCUCCAGAUGAAUGUUUCCUGGUCCAGGAACAAUACUGGCAUUGUAUAUGCCAGGACAUAUACAGCUGGGAUUACAGCCAUUGGAAAUAUGGGCGAUGCACUGCAAAAAAGGAAAACACAAAAUACUAAAAUGGUGAACUUCAAAAUGAUUUCACAAUUGCAAAUUGAAUGUCCCCUGAGUAAACUGGUUUGAAGUCAGGUCUUCAAAGAGGCUGAGACCUUGCCCACUUGAGGGCUAGAGGCAAAGUGUGACUUCAGAAAGGGAGUCUGGAAAGCUGGACCAGAGUCUUCCUGGAGCAAGUCAGACCACAGACUUCCAGCAGGUCCCUGAGGAGGUUCUAUGGACAAAUGUGUGAAGAACCUGAAGAGGCGGGCCUUGGCUCCUUGGAGCAACAUCUGCCCCUUCUCUGCCGGCUCCCCUGCGGCUUCUUCAGUCCCAAGGGCCUUCUGCUUUCCAGAACCCUGUGAGCCGGGCCGCUGGGGGGCGCCCCCCCCCCUCAGGAGUUGCACCCUGCCCC